GCCCACCGACCUCAACACCCAGCAGGUGUGAAGAAGCACCACCUGACUGCCAUGUUCCCCAUCACCGCUUCACGUUCACUCGACCAGAGUGUUUUAAAGAAUAUUCUAGCUGACUGCAUUGAUUUACAGAACUAAUCAUUCUCAAGCAGACAUUAAGCCCAUGUCCACCAGCUAACAGCAAAGUGAUGUAAGUCUGAGGCCCACAUUCCCUCCAAGAGGCUGGCUGCAGAUUCAGAGCUGCCUCUCCAAAGCCUCUGUGACCAGGUGACACAAGCACACCUGUCCUUGUCCCGUUGUGUCAGCACCAGUGGAGGAGCUUCUACAACUGAAGUCAGGAGAGGUCUAACUAUCUGUAUACUGUUUACAGAGUGAAAGACGGGCACAUCACACGGAUCCGUCCCCAGGUGACUUCAGCCAUGCCCAGUUCAGCUGGACGUCAUCAUGCUCCUACCACCUCUCAUACUGUCCUCUCCAGGUCUUCCCUCGUCUUCGUCCUGGCUGUGGCUGCAGCUUGGUGGCUGAUGGUCGUCUCUGUGCUGCUGUGGCCCCAAGGUGUCAUAUUUUACCCUUCACUACAACACAUCCUCCCCCAAGUUAUAUUUUAUGGAACAUGUGGAUUAUUUAGUCCAGAAUUUUACAUAUUUGAAAAUUUUAUAUUGUUUCAGAUAAAAGUUUGAUCUAAAAAUAAUCUUCAAGCAAAUCCUUGGCUUAUGUUGAUCUUUGUGGUAAAAAUGAGGUUCACUGAAGUUUUUCAAUAUUGACACAAAUAUUGUCUGCACUGAAUAGUUUAUGAUAUUUGUCAAAUAAGUUCUGGCUUGACUAGGAAUAUCCGUAUAUAGUUUGUGGAAUCCAUACAGAGUAAAACACUGCCUAGUGAACACAGAAAACUCAGGGUGAUCUCCUCACAGCUCCUUUUUCUUAUUGAGUAAUCUGGAUGUCCAAAAACAGGAAGAUAUAUAAAAUAAAGCUAAACUAAAAUCUUUGUUAGCUAGACAUCUGCUAGCGCUAGCUGUGUUACCAUUAGCUUGUCAGCUUAAAUGUUUUAGCAGCUCAAAUAAGAGUUUAUACAGCGAUGUUACACUCUAUAUAGAUAAUUGUCAUUAUGUGCACAGAGUGGUGACAAAAAUUAGCUGUAGAUUAACUCUGAAGUGUCAUCAGUCCCUCUACAGGAUUAUGAAUGGCAGAAAUGGUUAAUAGCUAUGUUAAAUGCAGGUUUUCAUUCCAACCAAGGAGGAGCACACCAGGCUGGACUCAUUUAAUCAGCUGAUCUCAGUCUUCAGCUGAUAGUUAGGUGACCGCCUGCUUUAGUCCAACUUAAAUCAUGGCAUGUCUCCAGGAUAUAACAAGUUGCCUUGCCAUCAGUUUAAAGAGGUGUUGUUUUUUCUCUGUAGCUCACAGAUCUUCACUCCCGCCAUUUUUUUUCAUUUUAUAAAGCAAGUUCAGUCAAUUUGACACAUUUUUCAAGUCCCCAAGAAAGUGACCUCGGGUGCCCACUUUACUCGGGGAUCAGCCAGGGCUCCCUCCACCAUCUGCAGGUGCUGCAAAGCAGCGCUGCUCAAUCCUUUACAGCAACAAAGAGGCAUGAUCACAUGACCUCUCUGCUUGCCUCUAUCAGCCACUGGCUCCCUGAUAGACUUUGAAAUGGUUUCAAAAUUGUAUUGCCUACAUUUAAGGUCUUUUAAAUCUCAUCUUGAAACUUUUCUUUUUGUGGAAGCUUUUGGAAAUGUUUGAUCCAUUUCUGCCUUAUCUGGUUUUAUUCUGAGUUUGAUUUUGUAAAGCUUUUUGUAACAUUGU